rnacentral:snRNA from 1 species
AUUGCUUCUCUGCCUUUUGGCUAAGAUCAAGUGUAGUAUCUGUUCUUAUUAGUUUAAUAUCUGAUACGUCCCCUACUUGGGGACUGCAUAUUAAAUGGAUUUUUGGAUCACGGAGCUGGAGCCGGGGCUUGCUCCAUCCACUCCACGCAUCGGCCUGGUAUUGCAGUGUCUCCAGAAACGGUGUGCUUCCC